rnacentral:rRNA from 1 species
UACGUAGGGUGCAAGCGUUGUCCGGAAUUAUUGGGCGUAAAGAGCUCGUAGGCGGUUUGUCGCGUCGAAUGUGAAAACCCGGGGCUCAACCCCGGGCCUGCAUUCGAUACGGGCAGACUAGAGUUCGGUAGGGGAGUCUGGAAUUCCUGGUGUAGCGGUGAAAUGCGCAGAUAUCAGGAGGAACACCGGUGGCGAAGGCGGGACUCUGGGCAGUGACUGACGCUGAGGCGCGACAGCGUGGGGAGCAAACAGG